UUUUUUUUUUAUUAUUUUUUUGAUAUUUAUGGAUUUGUUUCAUUCUUAAUUCCAAUCAAUUUAUAAACACACAAAAAAGCCACCUGAAGUGGACUUGUCAUAAUUUGAUAGCAUAGGUAUUAGUACAAAAUUAAAAGAGCUAGAAUUACUUAUUGACAUAAAAAAUAAGGAAUAGAAAGCUUGAAUUUAGAAAUCUAGUUCCAACCAAUUAGAAACAAUAAUUGUAAAAUUUGUAGUA
rnacentral:misc_RNA from 1 species